rnacentral:rRNA from 1 species
ACUCCUACGGGAGGCAGCAGUGGGGAAUCUUGGACAAUGGGCGCAAGCCUGAUCCAGCCAUGCCGCGUGAGUGAUGAAGGCCCUAGGGUCGUAAAGCUCUUUCGCCAGGGAUGAUAAUGACAGUACCUGGUAAAGAAACCCCGGCUAACUCCGUGCCAGCAGCCGCGGUAAUACGGAGGGGGUUAGCGUUGUUCGGAAUUACUGGGGCGUAAAGCGCGCGUAGGCGGACUGGAAAGUUGGGGGUGAAAUCCCGGGGGCUCAACCUCGGAACUGCCUCCAAAACUCCCAGUCUUGAGUUCGAGAGAGGUGAGUGGAAUUCCGAGUGUAGAGGUGAAAUUCGUAGAUAUUCGGAGGAACACCAGUGGCGAAGGCGGCUCACUGGCUCGAUACUGACGCUGAGGUGCGAAAGUGUGGGAGCAAACAGGAUUAGAUACCCUGGUAGGAUAGCC